rnacentral:rRNA from 1 species
GACGAACGCUGGCGGCGUGCUUAACACAUGCAAGUCGAGCGGGGUCCAACUUGUCGCAAGACAAGGGAAGGCCUAGCGGCGAACGGGUGAGUAACACGUGAGGAACCUGCCCCGAAGACUGGGAUAACACCGGGAAACCGGUGCUAAUACCGGAUACCCACCCAGAGAUCGCAUGGUCUUUGGUGGAAAUGGAUUCCGCGUUCGGGAGGGCCUCGCGGCCUAUCAGCUUGUUGGCGGGGUAACGGCCCACCAAGGCGACGACGGGUAGCUGGUCUGAGAGGACGGCCAGCCACACUGGGACUGAGACACGGCCCAGACUCCUACGGGAGGCA